AAUAAGGCGGUACCUUGACGGUACCUAACGAGAAAGCCACGGCUAACUACGUGCCAGCAGCCGCGGUAAUACGUAGGUGGCAAGCGUUGUCCGGAAUUAUUGGGCGUAAAGCGCGCGCAGGCGGUCUUUUAAGUCUGAUGUGAAAGUCCGUGGCUCAACCAUGGAACUGCCGUUGAUGCUGGCUGGCUUGAUUGCCGGUGGGGUACAUGGAAUUGGUGGUGUAGCGGUGAAAUGCAUAGAUACGAUCACGAACACCGAUAGCGUAUGCAUUGUGCUUACCGGCAACUGACGCUGAGGCAUGAAAGCGCGGGUAUCGAACAGGAUUACAUACCCUGGUAGUCCACGCCGUAAACUAUGAUCACUCGCUGUUAUGCCUAUAGGGUGUAAUGGCCAAGCGAAUGCGUUAACUGAUCCACCUG
rnacentral:rRNA from 1 species